CGUCUAGGCGGCAAUGCAAGUCAUGCGUGAAAGCUCCUGGCUCAACUGGGAGAGUGCGUGUGAAACUGCAUAGCUAGAGUCUUGGAGGGGUGCGUGGAAUUCCCGGUGGAGUGGUGGAAUGCGUUGAGAUCGGGAGGAACACCAGAAGCGAAGGCGGCGCACUGGCCAAGAACUGACGCUGAAGCGCGACAGCGUGGGGAGCAAACAGGAUUAGAUACCCUGGUAGUCC
rnacentral:rRNA from 1 species